UACGUAGGCAGCGAGCGUUGUUCGGAAUUACUGGGCGUAAAGAGUGUGUAGGCAGUGUUCCCAGUCUGUUGUGAAAUCUCCCGGCUUAACUGGGAGGGUGCAGCGGAAACUAGAAUGCUAGAGGGUGGGAGAGGUAAGCGGAAUUCCUGGUGUAGCGGUGAAAUGCGUAGAUAUCCGGAGGAACACCAAUGGCGAAGGCAGUGCCCUGGCCGACGGCUGACGCUCAGGCGCGAAAGCGUGGGGAGCAAACAGG
rnacentral:rRNA from 1 species